GAUGAACGCUGGCGGCGUGCUUAACACAUGCAAGUCGAACGGAAAGGCCAGUGCUUGCACUUGUGCUCGAGUGGCGAACGGGUGAGUAACACGUGGGUGAUCUGCCCUGCACUUUGGGAUAAGCCUGGGAAACUGGGUCUAAUACCAGAUAGGACCAUGCUUUGGGUGGUGUGGUGGAAAGCUUUUUCUGUGUGGGAUGAGCUUGCGGCCUAUCCGCUUGUUGGUGGGGUGAUGGCCUACCAAGGCGUCGGCGGGUAGCCGGCCUGAGAAGGUGUACGGCGACACUGGCACUGACGGACGGCCCAGACGGCUACGGGUGGCAGAAGGGGGGAAGAUUGCACAAGCAGCGCAGGGCUGGUGCAGCGGGGCCUCGGGGGGGAAGACGGCCUUCGGGUGGUAGACUACUUUCGCAACUGACGAAGCUUGUUGUGACGGUAGGUAGAGAAGAAGCACCGGCUAACUACGUG
rnacentral:rRNA from 1 species